rnacentral:rRNA from 1 species
GAUGAACGCUGGCGGCGUGCCUAACACAUGCAAGUCGAACGAAGCAAUUUAACGGAAGUUUUCGGAUGGAAGUUGAAUUGACUGAGUGGCGGACGGGUGAGUAACGCGUGGGUAACCUGCCUUGUACUGGGGGACAACAGUUAGAAAUGACUGCUAAUACCGCAUAAGCGCACAGUAUCGCAUGAUACAGUGUGAAAAACUCCGGUGGUACAAGAUGGACCCGCGUCUGAUUAGCUAGUUGGUAAGGUAACGGCUUACCAAGGCGACGAUCAGUAGCCGACCUGAGAGGGUGACCGGCCACAUUGGGACUGAGACACGGCCCAAACUCCUACGGGAGGCAGCAGUGGGGAAUAUUGCACAAUGGGCGAAAGCCUGAUGCAGCGACGCCGCGUGAGUGAAGAAGUAUUUCGGUAUGUAAAGCUCUAUCAGCAGGGAAGAAAAUGACGGUACCUGACUAAGAAGCCCCGGCUAACUACGUGCCAGCAGCCGCGGUAAUACGUAGGGGGCAAGCGUUAUCCGGAUUUACUGGGUGUAAAGGGAGCGUAGACGGUAAAGCAAGUCUGAAGUGAGAGCCCGCGGCUCAACUGCGGGACUGCUUUGGAAACUGUUUAACUGGAGUGUCGGAGAGGUAAGUGGAAUUCCUAGUGUAGCGGUGAAAUGCGUAGAUAUUANGAGGAACACCAGUGGCGAANGCGACUUACUGGACGAUAACUGACGUUGAGGCUCGAAAGCGUGGGGAGCAAACAGGAUUAGAUACCCUGGNAGUCCACGCCGUAAACGAUGAAUACUANGUGUUGGGGAGCAAAGCUCUNCNGUGCCGUCNCNNCGCANUNNUAUUCCACCUGGGGAGUACGUUCGCAAGANUGAAACUCAAAGGAAUUGACGGGNACCCNGCACAAGCGGUGGAGCAUGUGUUUUAAUUCGAAGCACGCGGAGACCUUACCAGGUCUUGAACAUCGAUCGGACAGGGAGUAACGUCCUCCUUCCUUUCGG